UGCAAGUCGAACGGAGAUGUUUAUUUCGGUAGACAUCUUAGUGGCGCACGGGUGAGUAACGCGUGAAUAACCUGACCCGAAGAGGGGGAUAACACCUGGAAACAAGUGCUAAUACCGCAUAAGACCACGGACCGGCAUCGGUCAGAGGUCAAAGGAGGAAUCCGCUUUGGGAGGGGUUCGCGUCCCAUUAGGUAGUUGGUGAGGUAACGGCCCACCAAGCCGACGAUGGGUAGCCGAGCUGAGAGGCUGAUCGGCCACACUGGAACUGAGACACGGUCCAGACUCC
rnacentral:rRNA from 1 species